GUUGAACGCUGGCGGCGUGCUUAACACAUGCAAGUCGAACGGUGAACACGGAGCUUGCUCUGUGGGAUCAGUGGCGAACGGGUGAGUAACACGUGAGCAACCUGCCCCUGACUCUGGGAUAAGCGCUGGAAACGGCGUCUAAUACUGGAUAUGUGACGUGACCGCAUGGUCUGCGUUUGGAAAGAUUUUUCGGUUGGGGAUGGGCUCGCGGCCUAUCAGCUUGUUGGUGAGGUAAUGGCUCACCAAGGCGUCGACGGGUAGCCGGCCUGAGAGGGUGACCGGCCACACUGGGACUGAGACACGGCCCAGACUCCUACGGGAGGCAGCAGUGGGGAAUAUUGCACAAUGGGCGCAAGCCUGAUGCAGCAACGCCGCGUGAGGGAUGACGGCCUUCGGGUUGUAAACCUCUCUUAGCAGGGAAGAAGCGAAAGUGACGGUACCUGCAGAAAAAGCGCCGGCUAACUACGUG
rnacentral:rRNA from 1 species